GGCCGGUUAGCACAGUGGCAGUGCGUUCCUAGGUCGCGGGAGAAAUCCCGCGGCUUCCCUACACAAGCUAAUAAGCAUUGGCUUGUGUAGGGAAGACGAAGGUUCGAUUCCUUCACCGGCCACCA
rnacentral:tRNA from 1 species